rnacentral:rRNA from 1 species
CACGUAGGCGGAUUUGUAAGUCAGGGGUGAAAUCCCGAGGCUCAACCUCGGAACUGCCUUUGAUACUGCAAAUCUCGAGUCCGGAAGAGGUGAGUGGAAUUCCUAGUGUAGAGGUGAAAUUCGUAGAUAUUAGGAAGAACACCAGUGGCGAAGGCGGCUCACUGGUCCGGUACUGGCGCUGAGGUGCGAAAGCGUGGGGAGCAAACA